rnacentral:rRNA from 1 species
AUACGUAGGUGGCAAGCGUUGUCCGGAAUUAUUGGGCGUAAAGCGCAUGUAGGCGGUGCCUUAAGUCUGUCGUGAAACUGCGGGGCCUAACCCCGUAUGGCGAUGGAAACUGUGGCACUUGAGUGCAGGAGAGGAAAGGGGAACUCCCAGUGUAGCGGUGAAAUGGGUAGAUAUUGGGAAGAACACCGGGGGCGAAGGCGCCUUUCUGGACGGUGUCUGACGCUGGAAUGCGAAGGCAAGGGUGUCGAACGGGAUUGUGUACCCCGUUAGUCCUGGCCGUAAACGAUGGGUAUUAGGUGUGGGAGGUAUCGACCCCUUCCGUGCCGGAGUUAACGCAAUAAGUACCCCGCCUGGGGAGUACGGCCGCAAGGCUUAAACUCAAAUGAAUUGACGGGG